AUUGACCUCGGAUCAGGUAGGGAUACCCGCUGAACUUAAGCAUAUCAAUAAGCGGAGGAAAAGAAACCAACAGGGAUUGCCUCAGUAACGGCGAGUGAAGCGGCAUCAGCUCAGAUUUGAAAUCUGGCCUCUUCGGGGUCCGAGUUGUAAUCUGUAGAGAGUGCUUCGGGUGAGACUACGGUCUAAGUCCAUUGGAACAUGGCGUCAUAGAGGGUGAGAAUCCCGUAUGUGACUGUGGCUCGAGCCCAUGUGAAGCCUCUUCGACGAGUCGAGUUGUUUGGGAAUGCAGCUCAAAAUGGGUGGUAAAUUUCAUCUAAAGCUAAAUACUGGCUGGAGACCGAUAGCGCACAAGUAGAGUGAUCGAAAGAUGAAAAGCACUUUGGAAAGAGAGUCAAACAGUACGUGAAAUUGUUGAAA
rnacentral:rRNA from 1 species